UCUAAGCACAUGCCUUAAUACGGUGAAGCCGCGAAUAGCUCAUUACAACAGCCAUCGUUUACUAGAAUAUCGUUAUCCUACUUGGAUAACUGUGGCAAUUCUAGAGCUAAUACAUGCAUCAAAGCUCUGACCGCAAGGGAAGAGCGCAUUUAUUAGAAUAAAAACCAAUCGGGUCUCGGCCCGUUCUUUGGUGAAUCUGAAUAACUUUGCCAAUCGCACAGUCCUAGUACUGGCGAUGUAUCUUUCAAGUGUCUGCCUUAUCAACUUUCGAUGGUAGGUUAUACGCCUACCAUGGUAGUAACGGGUAACGGAGAAUAAGGGUUCGACUCCGGAGAGGGAGCCUGAGAAACGGCUACCACA
rnacentral:rRNA from 1 species